GCUUUUUGGCAGAGCUAGCAAAAACUCAAAUAUGAAACUCUUUCUUCCAAUAUAUUUCUCUUAACCCAACCCAGAUACCCAUCGUUGCACCUCCAUACCCGCCACCGUGACGUCGCCGGCACGGCCACCGCCACCACCAUCGUCACUGUCACUGUCACCGCCACGUCUCCACUGCAGCCUCCAAAACGAUACAUCAUCUCAUCUUUUUUUCUUCUCCUCAGUCGAGAUCCAUGGUCGCCGGAGGGUCGUAACCCUAAACGCCGCUCGAAACCUGGUCUAGAUUGAGACAUGCAGACUCUUCGUAUGCCUCGUAUUGGUCGGGAACGCAGCCGCAUGGCCCCUCGAGGUCCACCGCCGCUGGGUCGUCGUUUUAAAGUGGUGGUUGCACCGGUGAAAAUGGGGACAGUUGCUUGAAGGUUUUGUGAUGAUUGGCAGUUAAUUUUUUCAAACGGUGCGUCAGACGCUUUAGGGUUGUGUAGUAUUUAUGUAUCUGUGGUUAAAUUUUUUUGAAACGGUGCUUCAUGUGGUAACCGAACC